rnacentral:rRNA from 1 species
UACGUAGGGUGCGAGCGUUAAUCGGAAUUACUGGGCGUAAAGCGUGCGCAGGCGGUUUUGUAAGCCAGAUGUGAAAGCCCCGGGCUUAACCUGGGAAUGGCAUUUGGGACUGCAAGGCUUGAGUGCGGCAGAGGAGACUGGAAUUCCCGGUGUAGCGGUGAAAUGUGUAGAGAUCGGGAGGAACACCGGUGGCGAAGGCGGGUCUCUGGGCAAUUCCUGACGCUGAGGCGCGAAAGCGUGGGGAGCAAACGGGG